CGAAGCGUGCGAUUGGAUUGCACGUCUAAGCAGUAAGGCUGAGUAUUAGGCAAAUCCGGUACUCGUUAAGGCUGAGCUGUGAUGGGGAGAAGACAUUGUGUCUUCGAGUCGUUGAUUUCACACUGCCGAGAAAAGCCUCUAGAUAGAAAAUAGGUGCCCGUACCGCAAACCGACACAGGUAGUCAAGAUGAGAAUUCUAAGGUGAGCGAGCGAACUCUCGUUAAGGAACUCGGCAAAAUGACCCCGUAACUUCGGGAGAAGGGGUGCUCUUUAGGGUUAACGCCCAGAAGAGCCGCAGUGAAUAGGCCCAAGCGACUGUUUAUCAAAAACACAGGUCUCUGCUAAACCGUAAGGUGAUGUAUAGGGGCUGACGCCUGCCCGGUGCUGGAAGGUUAAGAGGAGUGGUUAGCUUCUGCGAAGCUACGAAUCGAAGCCCCAGUAAACGGCGGCCGUAACUAUAACGGUCCUAAGGUAGCGAAAUUCCUUGUCGGGUAAGUUCCGACCCGCACGAAAGGCGUAACGAUUUGGGCACUGUCUCAACGAGAGACUCGGUGAAAUCAUAGUACCUGUGAAGAUGCAGGUUACCCGCGACAGGACGGAAAGACCCCGUGGAGCUUUACUGUAGCCUGAUAUUGAAAUUCGGCACAGCUUGUACAGGAUAGGUAGGAGCCUUUGAAACGUGAGCGCUAGCUUACGUGGAGGCGCUGGUGGGAUACUACCCUAGCUGUGUUGGCUUUCUAACCCGCACCACUUAUCGUGGUGGGAGACAGUGUCAGGCGGGCAGUUUGACUGGGGCGGUCGCCUCCUAAAAGGUAACGGAGGCGCUCAAAGGUUCCCUCAGAAUGGUUGGAAAUCAUUCAUAGAGUGUAAAGGCAUAAGGGAGCUUGACUGCGAGACCUACAAGUCGAGCAGGGUCGAAAGACGGACUUAGUGAUCCGGUGGUUCCGCAUGGAAGGGCCAUCGCUCAACGGAUAAAAGCUACCCCGGGGAUAACAGGCUUAUCUCCCCCAAGAGUUCACAUCGACGGGGAGGUUUGGCACCUCGAUGUCGGCUCAUCGCAUCCUGGGGCUGUAGUCGGUCCCAAGGGUUGGGCUGUUCGCCCAUUAAAGCGGUACGCGAGCUGGGUUCAGAACGUCGUGAGACAGUUCGGUCCCUAUCCGUCGUGGGCGUAGGAAAUUUGAGAGGAGCUGUCCUUAGUACGAGAGGACCGGGAUGGACAUACCUCUGGUGUACCAGUUGUCGUGCCAACGGCAUAGCUGGGUAGCUAUGUGUGGACGGGAUAAGUGCUGAAAGCAUCUAAGCAUGAAGCCCCCCUCAAGAUGAGAU
rnacentral:rRNA from 1 species